rnacentral:lncRNA from 12 species
AUGGCAACGGCUGAGGGCAGCGCCAAGGCUGCCACGGCCCGGGCUGAGAGCGUGGCCAGCACAGACACCCUCGCAGGGAGCAUGUCAGAUACUGACUCCAUGGCCAGCCAGACUGACAUUCCUGCUCCCACUCUGGACUUUCCCCAGGAGGAGGGUGCUUUUUCUCCUCAGCAGGUGCCAGCCAUCGUGGCAGACAUUCACCAGAGACUCAUGUACUGUGUCACUGUGGACGCCGGGCUGCAAAAUGUCCUUGUGACACUGGCUGAAGAACACCCCGUUCACGUGGUGAUGAGUCUCCUGUGCCGUGCCCCAUCGUGUGACCGGUACGGGGCACAAAUGCCUUGGCAGCUCAGGGCUCGCCGGCCUGUAGGGCCACCGCGCUGUACAGCCUGUGCAGUGGGGUCAGGCGUAGAGCUCCGGGGCCCUCGGGCCCCCUGUUUGCCGAGCCUGCUGCCAUGCUCCCUCCCUGCCCCUCAGGCCACCGGGGCUCUGUCACCUGGCCCCACUCAGCUGCACGGGGCUGGUACUGAUGCACAGCUCUGGUCCCACAGAGCUGCCGUCCUGAUGUGGAGAACCAUCGGCUCGUCGGGACAGGUAGUGCAGGAGGUGCUUGCAGCACUGCUCUCUGUGAUGGAGUCCAGCAUGUUCUCCAGAGAGGACAACGAGGCCGUCUUUGCCCUGGCUGUGAGUUUCUGCCCCUGGCCUUUGCUCACCCUCCAGGUGCCCUCUCUAGCAGCUCUCCAUGCUCUGCCCAGCGCCCUGCAGCUCCCAGUCUCGGGCGCUGGGCUGGAAGCUGGGCUAGGGCCAGGCUCAGGAGCAGCAGGCCGGGUGCUCCCCCUGCAUCUCCUCUGGGGCCCUGCCACACGGACACCUCGGCACUGAGCACUGCCUCGGGGCGCUUUGCGUUUUGCAGGCAACUGUGGUACUGUGGGCGACU